rnacentral:rRNA from 1 species
UACGUAGGGGGCGAGCGUUGUCCGGAUUUAUUGGGCGUAAAGAGCGUGUAGGCGGCCAGGUAGGUCCGUUGUGAAAACUCGAGGCUCAACCUCGAGACGUCGAUGGAAACCAUCUGGCUAGAGUCCGGAAGAGGAGAGUGGAAUUCCUAGUGUAGAGGUGAAAUUCGUAGAUAUUAGGAAGAACACCAGUGGCGAAGGCGGCUCACUGGUCCGGUACUGACGCUGAGGUGCGAAAAGCGUGGGGAGCAAACAGGG